rfam:Gracilibacter sp. BRH_c7a BRHa_1004979, whole genome shotgun sequence.
CAGUUGGUGAAAGUCCAACUCAACCAAUAACCAUUCAGUUGAAAGAGAAUGAGGAUAUUACGACUAGUGAUGGACGUAGUAUGAGCCCUCAAACUCAAAUAAGUGAGCCGUAACGCAA